GAUUGAACGCUGGCGGCAGGCCUAACACAUGCAAGUCGAACGGUAACAGGAAGCAGCUUGCUGCUUUGCUGACGAGUGGCGGACGGGUGAGUAAUGUCUGGGAAACUGCCUGAUGGAGGGGGAUAACUACUGGAAACGGUGGCUAAUACCGCAUAACGUCGCAAGACCAAAGAGGGGGACCUUCGGGCCUCUUGCCAUCAGAUGUGCCCAGAUGGGAUUAGCUDGUUGGUGAGGUAACGGCUCACCAAGGCGACGAUCCCUAGCUGGUCUGAGAGGAUGACCAGCCACACUGGAACUGAGACACGGUCCAGACUCCUACGGGAGGCAGCAGUGGGGAAUAUUGCACAAUGGGCGCAAGCCUGAUGCAGCCAUGCCGCGUGUAUGAAGAAGGCCUUCGGGUUGUAAAGUACUUUCAGCGGGGAGGAAGGUGUUGUGGUUAAUAACCACAGCAAUUGACGUUACCCGCAGAAGAAGCACCGGCUAACUCCG
rnacentral:rRNA from 1 species